rnacentral:tRNA from 1 species
GCGAGUGUAGCUCAUCUGGCAGAGCGCAGGUUUGUGGUAUCUGAUGUAGCCGGUUCGACCCCGGUCACUCGCCCCA